rnacentral:sRNA from 1 species
UUCCUGCACACCCGGAAGCAGAUCGCGCGGGGAAACGAUCACAGCGCUGCGCGUCAGUUUCCGUCUACCUGGACUAAACAUUUGCUUCGCCCCGUCUGCCUGAAUCGAACGUGCACUUGGCAGUCUUCCCUUGUCCAUACCCGUUUCCUGGGGAUCGUUACGGACCUUAAAAUACCAGCAACAGCCCCUUCGCCCCAAGGUCUUGCUCUGUCAGACUAGAGUACAGUGCAAUGAUCUCCGCUCACUGCAGCCUCAACCUCCUGGGCGCAAGCAGUCUUUCUGCCUCAGCCUUUCAGAGUGCUGGGAUUACAGACGGGAGCCACCAUGCCAGGCCUGCAAGAUUUGACUUGUAAAGAAUUAAUUAUAUUGACCGAGAGAGAAGCCCAGAAGAGGAAGAAGGGGAAAGAAAAGGAGUCAGGGAUGGCUCUUCCACAGGGACCUUUGACAUUCAGGGAUGUAGCCAUAGAAUUCUCUCAGGAGGAGUGGAAAUCCCUGGACCCUGUGCAGAAAGCUUUGUACUGGGAUGUGAUGUUGGAGAACUACAGGAACCUGGUCUUCCUGGGUUUGAUGUGUGAAUAAUUACAUUG